GAUCAUGAAAUUUUUACAAUAUAAAGAGAUCAAAUCACAUUCUAUUUUUACAUACUAAAAUGAAAAAAAAUAUGGCUCAUAUUCUAAAGUUUGUUUAUGCUACGAUUCUUGUUCUAUUCUUAUUUUUUGUUGCAACAAAAGUUGAUGGAGCAGUACAUAAGGAAUGUAAAACUGAUGUCGAUUGUCGACAAAUAUGGUUUGUUACUAAGUGCAUUAAUCACGAAUGUCAACCAAUUCUAUGAAUACCAAACCCACGAGAGUACACAAACGCCCAAUCAAGAAGAAUGUUUUGUUAUGCUACCAAAAUAAAUGUGCAAUAUACCGAAUGCCAAAAUAUUUCAUGAUCUAUCAUUUAGUUAUUAUGUUGGUACCAAAUAGUUGUAUUUUUCUUUUCCUAAUUUAAAUGAUCUCGUAGAAUAAGAGAUGUUGUAUAUGUUAGAGUAAACCUUAAUAGAUAAUCUAUGUUGAUUAGAUUUACUUUUUUAUUAUGACCUUGUUAUACACACACAAAAUUGUAUUUAUUAUGUUAUUUGUUAUAUAACAUAAUAAUGUCCUUAUAAUAGGUAAUAUGUUUAAUGUCAAA